AACCAAACCACAGUAUAUAAUUUUUUUUUGCAGAGCCCUGCCUUGUGGCCGAAAACCGACGGCAUUUUGGUCAUGCGGGAAUGGUUGAGCUUACAGUGCCUGUUCCCCCGGAAUGACGACUUUAUGUGACCUUAAGAAGUCUAUAAUUAUUUCAAAUGUGGCAACCGUGAAGGCAUCCCAAGCGGCACAUCUUCCUCUAUCCGUUGAUAGCUUGUAGUACUACCGUGCAGCUGACCACGACAUCUGCCAAUCAAUCCUCCCCUUCGUAAUUCAUCACUUUGCAUCUUGGUGGCAGAAGUCUCAGUUGAGGAUCGUCUGUACAAUUGCAGAGAGCCUUUUUUGAAGGAAGCAGAAGGUUGGAGAAAGUUGAGGGAUUUUUCUCACGGUCUGCUGGAAUUUUUUGAAAGGCUAAACGCAAAUCUCCCCUCCUCAUGGAUGACAAAGAACAUCUCCCCAAUGAUCAAUUUGCUGAAAGUGUCACGGAUCCCACCCUACGUAAGCAGUUAAAAAAGUGUAUUAGUAGUAACUUAGCAAAUUAUCGUCAAGAUUAUUAUCGUCAAGAGGUCCUGUUAAGCUGCUUUAUAAUUUCUGCUUUAUUCUGACGUUCUAUUCUUUUACGUUUCAUAUCCAUAUUUGCAGCAGUUAGGGAAAUAUCGUCAAGAUUAAGUGUGGGUUCUUGUAAAACUGCGUUGUAGUUUUGAUUUAUUCCGACGUUGCGCAAUGCCGGGUCCUGCUCCGCACAGAAAGUGCUCCAUAUAUCCAAGUAUAAAACGUCUAAAAAAUAUUUAAAUCCAGCAAUCUUGAUGUCAUCUGAAACGGCACAUAUUACUCUAUCUAUUCGUAUAAGUUUCAUAUCCAUAUUUGCAGUAGUUAGGAAAUAAUUGCAAAAGGAAGUGUGAGUUUUUGUCCUACUGUCUCCAAUUCUUGCAUAGUUCAGGCAUUGCGCUACGUCUGGUCCUGUUUGGCACAGAGAAUGGUCCAUACAUUCGAGUAUAAAAAGUCCCAAAAUUAUCUAAAUCUAUCAAACAUUGUGUCAUCUGAAAUGGCACCUGUUCCUCUAUCUAUUCAUAUAAGUUUCAUAUCCAUAUUUGCAGUAGUUAGGGAAGUAAUUGCAAAAGGACGUGUGAGUUCUUGUCCAACUGCAUCCAUUUCUUGCUUAGUUCUGGCAUUGCGCUAUGUCGGGUCCUGUUUUGCACAUAGAUUGGUCGAUAUAUUUCAGUGUAAAAAUUCUAAAAAUUAUCUAAAACUAGCAAACUUGGAGUUUAUUUGAAAGGGCAUAUGUUCCUCUAUCUAUUCAUAUAAGUUUCAUAACCAUAUUUGCAGUAGUUAAGGAAAUACUUGCAAAAGGAAGUGUGAGUUCUUGUCCUACUUUCUCCAAUUCUUGCGUAGUUCAGGCAUUGUGGUAUGUCUGGUCCUGUUUAGCACAGAGAAUGGUCCAUACAUUCGAGUAUAAAAAGUCUCAAAAUUAUCUAAAUCUAGCAAACUUGGUGUCAUCUGAAAGGGCACAUGAUUAUGUAUCUGUUCAUAUAAGUUUCAUAUCCACAUUUGCAGCAGUCUCCAAUUCUUGCGUAGUUCAGGCAUUGCGCUACGUCUGGUCCUGUUUGGCCUCCUAUUCCUCCGUAGUUCUGGCAUUGCGCUACGUCUGGUCCUGUUUGGCCUCCUAUUCCUCCGUAGUUCAGGCAUUGCGCUACGUCUGGUCCUGUUUGGCCUCCUAUUCCUCCGUAGUUCUGGCAUUGCGCUAUGUCGGGUCCAGUUUUGCACAGAGAAUGGUCCAUAUAUCCGGGUAUAAAACGUCUCAAAAUUAUCUACAUCUAGCAAACAUGGUGUCAUCUGAAAGGGCACAUGUUCCUCUAUCUAUUUGUAUAAGUUUUAUAUCUAUAUUUGCAGUAGUUAGGGAAAUAUCGUGAAGAUUAGAUGCAAAUUCUUGUAAAACUGCUUUAUAUUUUCGCUUUAUUCUGACUUUGCGCUAUGUCGGGUCCAGCUCUGCACAGAGAGUGCUCCAUAUAUCCGAGUAUGAAAGUCUAAAAAGUAUCUAAGUCUAGCAAACUUGGUGUUAUCUGAAAGGGCACAUGUUCCUCUAUCUAUUCAUAUAAGUUUCAUAUCCAUAUUUGCAGUAGUUAGGGAAAACUAGGAAAGGGAAGUUUGAGUUCUUGUUAAACUGCCUCCUAUUCUUGCGUAGUUCUGGCAAUGGGCUAUGUCUUCUCCGGUUUUGCACAUGGAAUGGUCCAUAUAGCCGAGUUUUGAAAGUCUAAAAAUUAUCUAAAUCUAGCCAGCUUGGUGUCAUCUGAAAGUACGCAUGUUCUUCUAUCUAUUCAUAGAAGUUUCAUAUCCAUAUUUGCAGUAGUUAGGGAAAUAUCGUAAAGAUUAGAUGCAAAUUCUUGUAACACUGCUUUAUAUUUUUGCUUUAUUCUUAGUUUGCGCUAUGUCGGGUCCUGCUCUGCACAGAGAGUGCUCCAUAUAUCCGAGUAUGAAAGUCUACAA